rnacentral:rRNA from 1 species
ACGGAGGGUGCGAGCGUUGUCCGGAAUCACUGGGCGUAAAGGGCGCGUAGGCGGCAGGCCAAGCGUGCGGUGAAAGUCCGGGGCUCAACCCCGGAUCGGCCGUGCGGACUGGUUUGCUGGAGCACUGUAGAGGCGAGUGGAAUUCCGGGUGUAGCGGUGGAAUGCGUAGAGAUCCGGAAGAACACCGGUGGCGAAGGCGGCUCGCUGGGCAGUGGCUGACGCUGAGGCGCGACAGCGUGGGGAGCAAACAGGA